UGGGGAAUAUUGGACAAUGGGCGAAAGCCUGAUCCAGCCAUGCCGCGUGUGUGAAGAAGGUCUUCGGAUUGUAAAGCACUUUAAGUUGGGAGGAAGGGCAUUAACCUAAUACGUUAGUGUUUUGACGUUACCGACAGAAUAAGCACCGGCUAACUCUGUGCCAGCAGCCGCGGUAAUACAGAGGGUGCAAGCGUUAAUCGGAAUUACUGGGCGUAAAGCGCGCGUCGGUGGUUUGUUAAGUUGGAUGUGAAAUCCCCGGGCUCAACCUGGGAACUGCAUUCAAAACUGACUGACUAGAGUAUGGUAGAGGGUGGUUGAAUUUCCUGUGUAGCGGUGAAAUGCGUAGAUAUAGGAAGGAACACCAGUGGCGAAGGCGACCACCUGGACUAAUACUGACACUGAGGUGCGAAAGCGUGGGGAGCAAACA
rnacentral:rRNA from 1 species